rnacentral:lncRNA from 1 species
GAUACUGAAAGAAUCAUUGAGCGCCUUCACCUAGCUGCUGCUGAAAAUGAGACUAUGAAGGAGUCCUUUCUGGAUGAAGCAGGAUCCGGGUUGCACCUUGAAAAUCAGAUCUGCGAGACAGCUUUUGGAAAUGAUGGCAGAACAGAAGCUGCAAAUGUAAAAGAAGAGGUGAGGCUGCGCUGAACCCCCUCCCCAUGCACACAAGCACAUGCACAAACCAUACACUGGAAACCUAAUAGCCUUCCAGCUUAAAAGGGCAAAAAGAAAACUACACUUUCAUUGAAAACCCUAACUCUUUCUAAGAUUCAUGCAGACAAGAUCUGUGAGAUGCCAAACAAUGUUGCACAUAUUUUCUAGCAAUGACUUCUUGAAAAUAAUGAUGCUUCUUACAUAACAGGUUUGGUGUUGAUCCAAAUCACUAAACCUAGCUUCAAGCUUUGGUGACAGCCAAAAUCAUCAACACCAAAUCACUUCUUGAAAAUGAAACAACGAUCAAGAUAACUUGGAAUUAUGUAAUGAGCAAGAACAUGCUUUACUUCAACCAUUUUUGGAUCUACAAAAAAAUUAAAGGACAGAAAAACCUUAAGAGUCUGUUUUUCAGAACACUAAAUUUUCCUUAACAUUUCUCAUUCUUUUGAAGAACAAAUGAAGCAUAAAUAUCUGAAUGGAUUAAAAAAAUUGCAUCCGGAAUUUCAACAAACCAUUCUUAUCAGGAAAAGGAUGUAGAGAUAUCACAAAAAGAAGUCCCCGCGGAUCUUGUAGAAGCC